rnacentral:rRNA from 1 species
CGGUAGCACAGAGAGCUUGCUCUCGGGUGACGAGUGGCGGACGGGUGAGUAAUGUCUGGGAAACUGCCUGAUGGAGGGGGAUAACUACUGGAAACGGUAGCUAAUACCGCAUAAUGUCGCAAGACCAAAGAGGGGGACCUUCGGGCCUCUUGCCAUCAGAUGUGCCCAGAUGGGAUUAGCUAGUAGGUGGGGUAACGGCUCACCUAGGCGACGAUCCCUAGCUGGUCUGAGAGGAUGACCAGCCACACUGGAACUGAGACACGGUCCAGACUCCUACGGGAGGCAGCAGUGGGGAAUAUUGCACAAUGGGCGCAAGCCUGAUGCAGCCAUGCCGCGUGUAUGAAGAAGGCCUUCGGGUUGUAAAGUACUUUCAGCGGGGAGGAAGGUGUUGUGGUUAAUAACCGCAGCAAUUGACGUUACCCGCAGAAGAAGCACCGGCUAACUCCGUGCCAGCAGCCGCGGUAAUACGGAGGGUGCAAGCGUUAAUCGGAAUUACUGGGCGUAAAGCGCACGCAGGCGGUCUGUCAAGUCGGAUGUGAAAUCCCCGGGCUCAACCUGGGAACUGCAUUCGAAACUGGCAGGCUAGAGUCUUGUAGAGGGGGGUAGAAUUCCAGGUGUAGCGGUGAAAUGCGUAGAGAUCUGGAGGAA